CUCUCCUGUGUUCCCUCCGUCCCGAGGAGCAGAGGCACUGAAGGAACAGAAAAACACAAGCAGGAUAAAGGUGAAGUCCUUGCCUUGUCCAGAAGACAAAUGUCAUUAGCCAAGACAAGAGGAAGGAAUGCCUCUGCCACUACAGGGAAUGCCUCCCUCCAGACCAUCAUCAGUUAAGUGGCAACCUAUGGAGUUUCCUGUGACUCACAGCCAAAUUCAAAUUUGAACUGAUACUGUGUACUUCUGGUGGAGUUGACUUUACCGCAGACUCCAAGGGUCAGAAUGAGACUCAGGACAGUUCCUCUGGGCAGUUGACCCAACAACGUCCAAGAGAAUGUAGUAAUUCUUUUGCUGGAAUAACUGGCCAAGAGCCAGUCAUGUCUUCUCCUACUGAAUGUAAACAAAAGAAGGAUAUGGGCCUCUGGAGCUGCCUCCUGUCCCCUUGCAGGAAGAAAUAGCAUCGUUUGGCUCCUUCUCUCUGCUCUCUCCCACAUCUCCAUUGCUCUGACUCAUCCUCUGUGUAUCAUCUGGGACUUUGAUUUCAGAUCUUUAUGGUGGGAUCCAAAGAAACCCCCUCCCCCAGGACUCUGAAGGUGGUGAGCAACCAGGUGCUGGCGUCCCCAGAGCCCCUUGAGCUUGCUGCUUUCUCACUGGGCCUGGAGUUUGGUAAGUCUGGAGACACCUGGAGAAGGUGUUCCUGCAAAAAUGCUUCAUCUUCAAAGAGAUUCAUGGGAAAGAUCCUGACAAGUACUUUAAAAUGCGGGUUUCUGAUACUUUUAAGAUAGUGACACCGAACUGGAAAAAACAUCACAACAGAUUAUGAAUGGGCAAGCUUCAUACCUGAUGCUGUAUGGGCCACUCAAGAAAGUUCAACAAAACACCUGAUGACAGCAUCAAAGACAGUCAAACUGCAAACCAGGAAAGUCCAUCAGACUAAAACUGCCAUCCUCAUUGCACCAUCUGAAGAUGCUUCCAACCCAAAUCUAGAAAUGGUCUCAACUGGCUGCUCUCCAAACUCAAAAAAUGAAUUUAUAAUUUGCUCCAACUAUUAACCUUUGUUUUUUCUCUUGUGUCCACAGAAGUGCCUUUAAUUAAAUUACCUG
rnacentral:lncRNA from 1 species